UACGUAGGGGGCAAGCGUUAUCCGGAUUUACUGGGUGUAAAGGGAGCGUAGACGGCCAGACAAGUCUGAAGUGAAAAUCCGGCGCUUAACGUUGGAAGUGCUUUGGAAACUGCCGGGCUAGAGUGCAGGAGGGGCAGGCGGAAUUCCUAGUGUAGCGGUGAAAUGCGUAGAUAUUAGGAGGAACACCAGUGGCGAAGGCGGCCUGCUGGACUGCAACUGACGUUGAGGCUCGAAGGCGUGGGGAGCAAACAGG
rnacentral:rRNA from 1 species